GGUUGGUGCAGUGGUGUUUACAAAUAAUUGAUGACAAUGAGUUACAGAUUCCUUUGUUCCUUCUCCACUCCCACUGCUUCACUUGACCAGCCUUUA
rnacentral:Y_RNA from 1 species